UAUCGCCUACGGGGCGCAGCAGUAGGGAAUCUUCCACAAUGGGCGCAAGCCUGAUGGAGCAACACCGCGUGAGUGAAGAAGGGUUUCGGCUCGUAAAGCUCUGUUGUUGGAGAAGAACGUGCGUGAGAGUAACUGUUCACGCAGUGACGGUAUCCAACCAGAAAGUCACGGCUAACUACGUGCCAGCAGCCGCGGUAAUACGUAGGGGGCAAGCGUUAUCCGGAAUUACUGGGGGUAAAGGGAGAGUAGGCGGCAAGGGAAGCGAUAUGGGAAAGCCUUAA
rnacentral:rRNA from 1 species